ensembl:lncRNA
CUUGAUGCUAGUGUAUUGUGUAUGUUCUUCAGCUCAGAUUCUUGAUUCCCUUUUGACUGCUGCUGAUGGAUCAGGCCUGGUAACUCCUAAACAUGGUGCACCAUAUAAGUGCUGAAUGGCCACAAAAAUAGUUGUCACCCAAUGCAAUGCAUCAUUUCAGGACUCUUUAAGACUCUGUAUGGUAUUGCUUUACUAGUGUUUCUUAAGUUCAUCAGUUUGAAUUCUGUGAAGAGGAACAAUGCCUUCUGCUGCACAAACCUGUCUUAAUAGUAUUUUUUCCAUACAUUAUCAUCAGGGAAAUUAUGUAUUGCUGAACUGAACUAAGUGUAGGAAUGUGCAAACAAUCUAUGCCCUCCUCAACUAUGUUAUCAAUGCGGACCUUGUACUGUAAAUGUUAUCUAUUCCUCAUUAAUCUGCUCUACACAGAAAUGCAGAAACAUGUAGUUCUGAGCAGAGAUAUGUAUAUAUAAUCCUAAUCAUAUCAAAUUGCGUAUUUUCACGCAUAUGUUACACUACAUCCAAAAAAGAAGCACAUUUCAUUCACGUAAAAUAUAUAAAUAUUUUAUCUUUUUCUCUCUCUCUCUCUCUCUUUGUGUGUAUAUGUCUGUGUAGCCACAACAGGUUGUCCAGAAGAAGCCAGCUCAGGAACAGACUGGAGAAACGUCCUCACAAGAAUCUGCAGAAGAUGAUUAGAAAACCACACCUCGCAAUUUCUACCUCAUCAGCAGUUGGGUCUUUUGAAGGGAGAAGACACUGCCUUGACCACUUACUUCUGUUGCCGCAAUCCUUCUACUUUGGCCUGGAGGGGGGGAGGGAAACCACAUAACCUUAAAAAGGACUUAUUAAUCACCAUUGUUGUAAUCCCUUCACUGUCCCAGGUUUAGUGAAACUGCUGUAACACAGGGGGACACGGAUUAAUGAUGCAACAUUUAAUUACUGUUUCUCUUAUUUUUCUUUAACCUACUAAUAGUUUGUUUGAGCUGCUAAGUAAGGGUGAAUGGGUCAGUAAAUAUCUGAACCAGGUCUUAAGUCAUUCAUGCACUGCGUAUAAAUAAUAAUUUUGUAAAAUAUUGAUUAUAAUGGGCAUUCAAAUAGGAAGGCGGUGUUUGACACUAGCCCUUACAACACCUCUGAUCACCCACUCCCUCACUUAGUAAACUCCCUGUUUAGAACACCAAAGAUAAGGAUUAGAUACUACUCUUUUUAUAGCCUUGUUCUAGAUCUAUGCUUGAUUUUUUUAAAUAUUUUCUUUCAAAAUACAUUGAAGGCUGGUUUUUCUUUGUUUAAUUCAGCUGAUGUAUAGGAAACAGAAACCACAAGAAAAAGGUACUUUGCAAAAAAAAAAAGGGAAGUGACAAAGAUACAUUGUAUAUUUAGUAAUACACAUAUAUCUGCAGAAGUAUAACUAAACAGAACUCAACUGGACUCCUCUCUGGGAACACACUCAUAUCCACUCAGGUAGAAUUUGCUUUCUGGAGAGCCUCAUAUUGCUUAGAAAUUACUAAGAUGACCCUCUCUCAAGACAGAGAUUUAACAUCUUAAAAUUUCAGUUCUUCUGUGAACUUGGAAUAAUACUCCAGAUCAUAAUGGCACCAAGGGAAAAGAUUCAAAUUCUCAGUGAACUUAACCUAGUACUGUCAGUACAUUUCAUUGUUUCUAGGCAAAUGGAUCUUUUUUACUUUACUCACAUCUCAGUGCAAGAGCCAAUACCAUGUACCUCAAGUGAUCUUGUUAUCAUGUUUAAGCAAUAUACAUUGACAUAGGGUGGUUUGCUGGGCAGCUAUAUCACAGUCAUGUGCCCCCAUCUUUUUUCACUCAAAGCAGCACUUUUAGCAACAAAUGCAAUAUUACCCCACUUUUCAAUACUACCUCUGAUAUUUUGACAUUAAACUCAACAAGUCAUAUAAACACUUGCUGCUAUGAUCAUACAAUGCAGGAAAUUGUUCUUGAAGAGGUAAUUAUGCAUUUCUGCAUUUUCCCUUCAUUCUAUUUUUGUCACCUAGUUGCAGUUAAGGACAUAAGAUCUUUAAUAUUUUACAGCGAUAACUAUGUAUUUUUCCUUUUUUUUAAAAAAAGUACUAUGCCUUUUCUCUGCUAAAUUUCUAUGUAAUGUACCAUUAACUUGAAUAUAUUUUUUUACCGAAUUACUCAUAAAGUUUGUAGGGAUAAUUUUCACCAGUGACACUACAUGACAUAAAAAUAACUAACUGCAAUGUUUAAAUAUUACUGUCCAAGUUUGUACCUCAAAUUUAAAAAAAAAUGGACUAGUUGAUUGACAAAGACCUACCUCUAGACUAUAAAUGGAAUGAACUUGUUGUUUCUUUCAGCAUUAGUUUUUGAGAAGAUUGAAACAUUUAGGACUGCAACAACAACAAAAUCCCUUAUCAGAAUAUUUUUGUAAAAGAACUUUGUGGGGAAUUAACAUAUAUUAAUUACUUUCAUAUUAAAAACAACCCUUCAAAGAAACUUGAAUCUUUGUAGGUGGAAAGCAACAAGCUCAGCUCUUUGCAUAAUGCAAUCACAAAUAUUUUUGUGUGUUUAAAAAAACUAAUAGAUUGUGUGAGAAUACUUGUCAAGUAUUUUCAUAUAUUUUUCACAAAUGUGAUUUUUUUAGUAAUAUGUGUCAACCAGAUUUAUUUUAAAUGCUUCUUAUGUAGAGUUUGUUUAAUACUCUAUCUACUCCACCCUUCCUUCUCUUUUUCUUUCUCUCUGUCUCACAUGCAGACAAUAUGUGUACUUGUUAACAUUGUUUUCCUGUUUGGGCCAGGGGUAGUUUCUCAGGAAAGCUUUUCCUCAGUAUGAAUUUUAGUACUUAGCCAAAUGCAACUAAGGAAAACUACUUACUGGCUGCUUCACAACAGAGAAUACUAAGAAACAAGCAUCUCCUUGAAUAAUGAGACUAUCAUUGUGAAUUGCUAAAAAGAAAGUACAUCUUAGGCAUCCUAUUUCACAACAGCUGCUUAUGGACUUUAGUUAUGUUCAUGGAAGCCAUUACCAGUAAUCCAAAGCAGGGUGCACAGGAGGGUUCUUCUUCGUGGUUUCUGUGAAUGUGCACAAUUGGGUUGUUCUGCACAUUCACAGAGGACCACUAGAAGAACUAUGGUUACAGGUAGGUAACCUCUCUUUUCCAGCUCACCCUUCCAGAGGCAGCAGCUUGAAUCCCACCCCAUCUUCCAAGCAGGAUGCAAAGCCUUCCACUUGCAGCAUUGUAUUAAGCACAAAGCAUUAUUGUUGAAUGAAAAUACCUAGCUGACUAAUAGGGACACUUGUCAGGACUCUGAACUUCCAUAUUAACUAUGCCGCAGGGUUUGAAGAUGCAAAUGCCAUGCUCCCAAGUUUCAGGUGUGCAUGCAAGUUCCAUUCCGGAAGGGGUGGUAUGUCAUUCUCAUCAUUUUUAGUGAGUGUUAUAAAUACAAUGAGAAUUCCUUACUCUGUAUGUUGGAAUAUUCCCUAAGUCAUUAGGACACCCUUUCCUGCAUGGAACUCCAUGUUUAUACAUUUGUAUGCUCUGUUACUGGAGCUGCUGAAUCAGUUUAAGAGCUUGAGAUGAAACCAAUAUUGAUCCACGUGAGUCAGACAUAAAACUCCAAGGACUCGUAACUCUGAUCAAAUUAUAAAUCUUGUAUUUUCUGUUUAUUGUAGAACAAUCAAAACACAUUACUACCUCUCAGAGUCUUCUAUACCUCAUUUUUCAGGCUAAAAAGGCUUGUGGCCACUGAAACAGAAAGAACAUCAUAAAAUUUUUUAUAUAUAUAGUUUAUUUUUGUGGGAGAUAAAUUUUAUAGGACUGUUCUUUGCUGUCACUGUCACUGCUAAAUAAGACUGGACAUUAACUUUUCUGGCAUUUCUGCAAGAUAGGUAUGCUUGCAGAAGAAAAGUAUCAAGAUGUAUAACUACCAUUUACUUCUUCCUAUUUUACUUGCCUGCCUCCUAGCUCUUUGCUUUGUUAUUCAUAUAGAGUUGCUGUCUAUGAUUGUACUUUGAAUUGCUUGCUUAUUGAACAUGUUCCUUUAAUGGAUUAUUCCCGUAUGUUCAGCACAAUAAACAUAAUAGCCUCUGUAAUCCUAAUGUUACU